rnacentral:rRNA from 1 species
UAUGGUUAAGCUACUAAGAGCACACGGAGGAUGCCUAGGCGCUAGGAGCCGAUGAAGGACGUGGC